rnacentral:lncRNA from 1 species
CUGGGAAGGAAUCUUUGCUACUUGUUGAUAGAGGGGCAACUUUGGUAGUAUGACUUUGAUGGGACAUAUGUUAUUAGUUAUUUUUGUAAUUAACUUGGAGUAGUUUUCUUUCCCUUCUCAAGGAUCAGAAGAAGGAUUAUUAUAGUUUUCUUUCCCUUCUUCUUUGGUGCUAUUUUAUAGGAUUUCUUCCUUAGUAGUUGAUUGUGGAGUUGAGCUACCAAAAGAAGAUUCUUCUUCUUCAAUCUGGGCA